rnacentral:rRNA from 1 species
AGAGUUUGAUCAUGGCUCAGAACGAACGCUGGCGGCGUGCUUAACACAUGCAAGUCGAGUGCGCGCCUGUAGCAAUACAGGUGGCGCACGGCGCACGGGUGCGUAACACGUGGGUAACCUGCCCUUUGGUGGGGAAUAACUCCACGAAAGCGAAGCUAAUUCCGCAUAAGAUCCGCAAGGAUGAAAGCCGAAAGGCGCCGAUGGAGGGGCCCGCGCACGAUUAGCUAGUUGGUAGGGUAAUGGCCUACCAAGGCUUUGAUCGUUAGCUGGUCUGAGAGGAUGGCCAGCCACACUGGAACUGAGACACGGUCCAGACUCCUACGGGAGGCAGCAGUGGGGAAUCUUGCACAAUGGGCGAAAGCCUGAUGCAGCGACGCCGCGUGGGGGAUGAAGCUUCUCGGAGUGUAAACCCCUUUCGAUCCGGACGAAUGCCCGCAAGGGAUUGACGGUACGGAUAUAAGAAGCCCCGGCUAACUACGUGCCAGCAGCCGCGGUAAUACGUAGGGGGCCAGCGUUGUUCGGAAUUACUGGGUGUAAAGGGUUCGUAGGCGGUGCGGCAAGUUGGGAGUGAAAUCUCUGGGCUCAACCCAGAGGCUGCUUCCAAAACUGCCGUGCUUGAGUGUGGGAGAGGCUCGUGGAAUUGCAGGUGUAGCGGUGAAAUGCGUAGAUAUCUGCAGGAACACCCGUGGCGAAAGCGGCGAGCUGGACCACUACUGACGCUGAAGAACGAAAGCUAGGGGAGCAAACAGGAUUAGAUACCCUAGUAGUCC